GUGUCAGCCGCCGCGGUAAUACGUAGGGUGCAAGCGUUGUCCGGAAUUAUUGGGCGUAAAGAGCUCGUAGGCGGUGUGUCGCGUCUGCUGUGAAAACUCAGGGCUCAACUCUGAGCUUGCAGUGGGUACGGGCACACUAGAGUGCUGUAGGGGAGACUGGAAUUCCUGGUGUAGCGGUGAAAUGCGCAGAUAUCAGGAGGAACACCGGUGGCGAAGGCGGGUCUCUGGGCAGUUACUGACGCUGAGGAGCGAAAGCAUGGGGAGCGAACAGGAUUAGAUACCCUGGUAGUCC
rnacentral:rRNA from 1 species